AUUAUACUCCCUCCGUCUGAAAAUACUUGUCAUCAAAAUGGACAAAAAGGGAUGUAUCUAAAACUAAAAUACAUCUAGAUACAUCCCUUUUAUCCAUUUUGAUGACAAGUAUUUCCGGACGGAAGGAGUAUAUA
rnacentral:pre_miRNA from 1 species